GAUGAAAUCUUCCACUUGCACAUCGGGUUGCCUGUGGCUUUUAAGCGCUUUGCAUGCUGGGUGAAUAGAACCAAACAACAAAAUGCCUGAAGGAGCUGAGGUUUUUUCUAACCCUUUGGCACCGCCGUCCGCGUCAAACGCACAUCAUGGCGCAUCGUCUUCUGCCGCGCACAUAGCGAACCUGACCAAUGCAGACUUUAGAAAGCUGUUGAUGACACCGCGGUCAGCGCCAUCCGCUGCACCGCCGUCUGUGAAGCCACCAAGUGUCAAGGAGACAGUUGGAAAGCCACGUCAAUACAACGAAGAUGAUGAUCCGACUACUGCCCGCAGAAAGAAGAAAAAGUACUAUGCUAAGCUACACAAGCAGGAGGAAGAGAGAGAAAGAGAGCUGGCCUCUAAGUACAGAGACAGGGCAAGAGAGCGCAGGGAAGGUGUCAAUCCUGACUAUCAGAGUACGGACACUCUUAGCUCAACAGCAAACUACAGAGCUGUGGGGCCUACACAAGAGGCAAAUGACACCACAGCUGAGCGCCGUCGUCUUGCUAUUCAGGAGAGUAAGUUCUUGGGUGGAGACAUGGAACAUACUCACUUGGUGAAGGGCUUGGAUUUUGCCCUGCUACAGAAGGUCCGCAGUGAAAUAACAGGAGAAGGGGAUGAGGGAGAAGGGGAACACAAGCCUCACAAGCAGAAAGCUGACAGGGUGGAAGAGGAAGGUGAAGAAGACCUGCCUGAAUUCAAGACACGGCAAGGACAGAGAAUUUAUAAAACAAUCUUUAGAAGCAAGGUUCCAGAAAAGAAUGAACUGUUCCAGACUGGAAGAAUGGCCUAUGUUUUUGAGUUGGAAGAUGAAUACGCUGAGAGUGACAUCCCGACAACUCUUCUAAGAAGCAAAGCAGAUUGCCCAGGCGUGGAGACCCAAACAACAUUGACAACAAACGACAUUGUAAUUAACAAGCUAACGCAGAUCCUGUCCUACCUGAGGCAGGGAAUGAGGAAUAAAAAGAUGAAAAAGAAAGAAAAAGCAAAAGAGAAAGAAAAAGAACUUACCAAGCCCAAGUCACAGGGCCCCGAAGAUAGCAUCUUUGGUGACGUUGGUGACUAUGACACGGGCAUUGCACUCAAGGAACACAAGAAGGAAAAGCAGAGAGGGAGAGAUCGUGAUCAGGACAGAGAUCAUCGUGAUCAGGACAGAGAUCACCGGGGCAGGCAUAGAGACCGUGACCGCGAGGAGCGCAGGCAUAAGGAGAAUGCAUACUUUGAGAAGCCAUCCAGGGAUGACCAGGAGGAACUAUUCAACAAAUCAGAUAUGAGUGCAGCAGAAUUCGCCAAGUCGGUGACACAGAAGUUUAAAAAGACUGGUGCAGAAUGGGAGAAAUCGGAAGCAAACCAAUUGGCAAACAAAGCCAAGGCCAAGCAGAAGAAGGAGCAAAGAGAUGUCAACUUUGUCCCUGACAGCUACGCCGAGUGCUACCCAGGGGCAAUGGAAGUGGCCGAUACCACAUAUGACAGUGACGAUGAUGCAGACUAUACCAAGAUGGACCUGCAAGCCUUCUGUGCUAGACCUGUUCUAAGGGUUUGGUUUUCUUCUUAUAACAGGGUAACAAAAAGGGGCCAAUCAAACGCUGGGACUUUGAAGAUGAAGAGCAGUAUAACUCUUACAUGGAAACAAGAGAGGCAUUACCCAAAGCUGCUUUCCAGUUUGGCAUCAAAAUGUCAGAGGGGAGGAAGACGAGGCGUACUGGCCCCAAGGAUGAGAAGACCAAGUUAGACAGAGAUUGGCAACGCAUCAGUAGGAUGUUAGCAACAAAAUCCAAGUCCGAAGAAGAUGGUGAAAGUGGAGGAAAACGAGCGAAGCAUUUCUAAAUACUCCAGCAUGAGUGUACUGUUGUUAGUGACUGGGCACAUGUAGUGGGCUUACUCAUGGCUACUGGGUUAUCAAGGUCUGAAAUAUUCUUUCCUACACUGUAGUAUGGUUGUUUUUUCUUGGAUCUUUUCUGUUGGGAGAGCAAGCUCCCAAGGCUAUUUUCAUGCCCACGGUAAUACUGCAUUAAUUUGUGCCAUCCUUGUAAAAUAGGCAAGAUCAUCACAUUUUAAUCAAAUAAAGGCAAUAAAUGACAAUG